GCAGGCAAGAAAGGAGAAGGGAGAAAGAAGAAAGAGUGGCGGUGUUUACCUUUUGUUGUUUGUUUGUUUGAUUGUUUCCCUUGGACCUUUCUGCAGCAAGUGGUCGUGUUCCCAUGGCGUUCAUGAGAGGAGAGUCGCUGGUGUCGAAGCUGGCAGUGCUGGCCAAGUACGCCGUGCUUCCGGGAGCCAUGAUCGCCGCUCUGAUCUACUCUCCUCCCGAUUACUCUUCUUCUAAGAAGCCCGAUCCUCACUCCUCCACUAAGUAGAUGCGUCAUCUCUCCUUCCCCCUUUAUCCAACGGGACUCUUGGACUGCUACGAGGUCGUAUUGUUGAAGCUGUGCAGGGAUCUGUUGGAUGGUUCUGGUAUGUAGUAAUAAUCCUGAUGGCUCUUCUUUGUUCCUAUAUUUCAUAUGUAAGCAUAUGGAAUACUAUCUGUUCCUUGAGGAAUCGUGAGAAGCUCUCUAGUGUAAACAAAUGAUGUGGAUAUGGGUUUGAUAAAUGCAAGUUGCGUCUUAUCCCA